rnacentral:other from 1 species
UUCCUGGGGUGUUCGACAACUCCUGUAUUUUUGAACCUACAACUUUAAAAAGGGAUUCCUAUAUCGGUAAGCGGAUGUCGGGCCUCCUCAGAGUGGAUGGCAGUAAGCUUACUUGCGGUCGCCCACCUAGCAUUGGCUAGGAGUCAAGAAGCAGGAAACGGCAUUCCGGGAA